GACGAACGCUGGCGGCGUGCCUAAUACAUGCAAGUCGAGCGGACGAAUCGAAAGCUUGCUUUUGAUUCGUUAGCGGCGGACGGGUGAGUAACACGUGGGCAACCUGCCCUGUAGACGGGGAUAACACCGAGAAAUCGGUGCUAAUACCGGAUAACACGAAAUGUCGCAUGACGUUUCGUUGAAAGACGGCGCACGCUGUCGCUACAGGAUGGGCCCGCGGCGCAUUAGCUAGUUGGUGAGGUAACGGCUCACCAAGGCGACGAUGCGUAGCCGACCUGAGAGGGUGAUCGGCCACACUGGGACUGAGACACGGCCCAGACUCCUACGGGAGGCAGCAGUAGGGAAUCUUCCGCAAUGGACGAAAGUCUGACGGAGCAACGCCGCGUGAGCGAAGAAGGCCUUCGGGUCGUAAAGCUCUGCUGUUAGGGAAGAACAAGUAACGCAGUAACUGGCGUUACCGUGACGGUACCUAACGAGAAAGCCACGGCUAACUACGUG
rnacentral:rRNA from 1 species